rnacentral:rRNA from 1 species
GAUGAACGCUGGCGGCGUGCCUAAUACAUGCAAGUCGAGCGAACAGACGAGGAGCUUGCUCCUCUGACGUUAGCGGCGGACGGGUGAGUAACACGUGGAUAACCUACCUAUAAGACUGGGAUCACUUCGGGAAACCGGAGCUAAUACCGGAUAAUAUAUUGAACCGCAUGGUUCAAUAGUGAAAGACGGUUUUGCUGUCACUUAUAGAUGGAUCCGCGCCGCAUUAGCUAGUUGGUAAGGUAACGGCUUACCAGGGCAACGAUGCGUAGCCGACCUGAGAGGGUGAUCGGCCACACUGGAACUGAGACACGGUCCAGACUCCUACGGGAGGCAGCAGUAGGGAAUCUUCCGCAAUGGGCGAAAGCCUGACGGAGCAACGCCGCGUGAGUGAUGAAGGUCUUCGGAUCGUAAAACUCUGUUAUUAGGGAAGAACAAAUGUGUAAGUAACUAUGCACGUCUUGACGGUACCUAAUCAGAAAGCCACGGCUAACUACGUG